AACUAACUUCCGACUGGGAACGCAUUCCAAUAAAAAAAGCUUCUUUCAUGCAUGCUUUGCAAGCGAAAAAGAAUGUAAGAAGCUAUAAAGAAGCAUUGUUUAUGCAUUCUAAAGUUUCUUUUGCUUUACUCGCCACUUGCAUUUUGAUUUUCAAUUGAAAUAGCUUAUGCCUCUGUGAUUUGUGAAAUUAAUAUAUUCUUUGCGGUUCUAAUUUUCAAAAAAACUAUUUCAAGACAAAAGCGUGAACUAACAUCUACAUACAAGUUGUGUUUUUUAGGGUGGACCUAAUAAAUAAACAUAAAUUUAAAUAAUUAGACAUUACAUAAAUAAAAAAUUUAAUAAUUUAAUUGAAAAAAAAAUAUUUUACAAAAUAAACAAAACUAAUAUCAUUUAAAAUGAGGAGAAUGUCGCGGUCAUAUAUUCACCGUUUAACGAAAAAACAAAAGGAAGAGCUUCAUCAAUCGGCUGCUAGAGCUCUUACUUUUGAUACAGAAAAUAAUUCUGGAAAUGAAUGCCCAAAUUUAUG